rnacentral:rRNA from 1 species
UAACGCGUGGGUAACCGUGCCUUGUACUGGGGGAGUAGCAGCUGGAAACGGCUGGUAAUACCGCAUAAGCGCACAAUGUUGCAUGACAUGGUGUGAAAAACUACCGGUGGUAUAAGAUGGACCCGCGUCUGAUUAGCUAGUUGGUGAGAUAACAGCCCACCAAGGCGACGAUCAGUAGCCGACCUGAGAGGGUGACCGGCCACAUUGGGACUGAGACACGGCCCAGACUCCUACGGGAGGCAGCAUG